GUAGUUUGAUCCUGGCUCAGAUUGAACGCUGGCGGCAGGCCUAACACAUGCAAGUCGAACGGUAACAGGAAACAGCUUGCUGUUUCGCUGACGAGUGGCGGACGGGUGAGUAAUGUUUGGGAAACUGCCUGAUGGAGGGGGAUAACUACUGGAAACGGUAGCUAAUACCGCAUAACGUCGCAAGACCAAAGAGGGGGACCCUCGGGCCUCUUGCCAUCGGAUGUGCCCAGAUGGGAUUAGCUUGUUGGUGGGGUAACGGCUCACCAAGGCGACGAUCCCUGGCUGGUCUGAGAGGAUGACCAGCCACACUGGAACUGAGACACGGUCCAGACUCCUACGGGAGGCAGCAGUGGGGAAUAUUGCACAAUGGGCGCAAGCCUGAUGCAGCCAUGCCGCGUGUAUGAAGAAGGCCUUCGGGUUGUAAAGUACUUUCAGCGGGGAGGAAGGGAGUAAAGUUAAUACCUUUGCUCAUUGACGUUACCCGCAGAAGAAGCACCGGCUAACUCCGUG
rnacentral:rRNA from 1 species